rnacentral:rRNA from 1 species
GAUGAACGCUGGCGGCGUGCCUAAUACAUGCAAGUCGAGCGAAUGGAUUAAGAGCUUGCUCUUAUGAAGUUAGCGGCGGACGGGUGAGUAACACGUGGGUAACCUGCCCAUAAGACUGGGAUAACUCCGGGAAACCGGGGCUAAUACCGGAUAACAUUUUGAACCGCAUGGUUCGAAAUUGAAAGGCGGCUUCGGCUGUCACUUAUGGAUGGACCCGCGUCGCAUUAGCUAGUUGGUGAGGUAACGGCUCACCAAGGCAACGAUGCGUAGCCGACCUGAGAGGGUGAUCGGCCACACUGGGACUGAGACACGGCCCAGACUCAUGCGGGAGGCAGCAGUAGGGAAUCUUCCGCCAUGGACGAAAGUCUGACGGAGCAACGCCGCGUGAGUGAUGAAGGCUUUCGGGUCGUAAAACUCUGUUGUUAGGGAAGAACAAGUGCUAGUUGAAUAAGCUGGCACCUUGACGGUACCUAACCAGAAAGCCACGGCUAACUACGUGCCAGCCGCCGCCGUAA